rnacentral:rRNA from 1 species
ACGGAUGAGUAAUACAUCGGAACGUAUCCUGGAGUGGGGGAUAGCCCGGCGAAAGCCGGAUUAAUACCGCAUACGCUCUGAGGAGGAAAGCGGGGGACCUUCGGGCCUCGCGCUCAAGGGGCGGCCGAUGGCGGAUUAGGUAGUUGGUGGGGUAAAGGCCUACCAAGCCGACGAUCCGUAGCUGGUCUGAGAGGACGACCAGCCACACUGGGACUGAGACACGGCCCAGACUCCUACGGGAGGCAGCAGUGGGGAAUUUUGGACAAUGGGGGCAACCCUGAUCCAGCAAUGCCGCGUGUGUGAAGAAGGCCUUCGGGUUGUAAAGCACUUUUGUCCGGAAAGAAAUCAUCGGGGCCAAUACCCCUGGUGGAUGACGGUACCGGAAGAAUAAGCACCGGCUAACUACGUGCCAGCAGCCGCGGUAAUACGUAGGGUGCGAGCGUUAAUCGGAAUUACUGGGCGUAAAGCGUGCGCAGGCGGUGCUGUAAGACCGAUGUGAAAUCCCCGGGCUUAACCUGGGAACUGCAUUGGUGACUGCAGCGCUGGAGUAUGGCAGAGGGGGGUGGAAUUCCACGU